UCCCCGUUAUCCUGGGCAGUCCUUCCAGAGUUCCCGGCAUGACCCGUUGGCAACUGGAAGCAGGGGUUGCGCUCGUUGCGGGACUUAACCCAACACCUCACGGCACGAGCUGACGACAACCAUGCAGCACCUUGUAACCUACGUAUUUGCAUACGAAGACCCCUUUCAGGAUCGGUCAAGUUACAUUCUAGCCCAGGUAAGGUUCCUCGCGUAUCAUCGAAUUAAACCACCUGCUCCACCGCUUGUGCGGACCCCCGCCAAUUCCUUUGAGUUUCAACCUUGCGGUCGUACUUCCCAGGUGGUAAACUUAACGCUUUCGCUUGGACACCAACAGUAUAUCGCUGAUGUCUAGUUUACAUCGUUUAGGGCGUGGACUA
rnacentral:misc_RNA from 1 species